rnacentral:tRNA from 1 species
GCGCCACUAGCUCAGAAGGAUAGAGCGCCGGUCUACGAAACCGGAGGUCGGGGGUUCGAGUCCCUCGUGGCGCA